UUGACCUCGGAUCAGGUAGCAUGACGCCU
rnacentral:rRNA from 1 species